rnacentral:rRNA from 1 species
UACGUAGGGUGCAAGCGUUGUCCGGAAUGAUUGGGCGUAAAGAGCGCGUAGGCGGUCCGGUAAGUCCGCUCUGAAAGUCCGGGGCUCAACCCCGGGAGGCGGGCGGAUACUGUCGAGCUAGAGUCCGGAAGAGGCGAGUGGAAUUCCUGGUGUAGCGGUGAAAUGCGCAGAUAUCAGGAGGAACACCAAUGGCGAAGGCAGCUCGCUGGGACGGUACUGACGCUGAGGCGCGAAAGCGUGGGGAGCAAACAGG